rnacentral:lncRNA from 1 species
CAUUAAACUACAGCAGGUAACUUCGCCAGCUUUAGCACGCCCAGUAAAUACACUUUAUUGUCCCUGUAAAAUGUAUACGUUUUCACGCAUGACAAGUUUUAUAACAUGUUGGCAUGAGCUUUAAUACCUAUUUUAUAUUUCCAUCGUUUCUUCUGGAAAAUAAUGUAUAGAUAAUGCAUUUGGGUUAUGUUCUUCUUUGAGAAGGAUGCAGAAUUCCAUUCAAUUUUGUUAUCUCUCUCUCUCUCGCUCUCUCUCUCUUUGUGUGUGUGUUUGUUCUAUGUAACACACUACCCAGUCACCCUCCAGAAUGAAGCCGAGGGCGGAAGAGGGGGAAGUUAGUUGUGACAGAGGAUGAGGGGGGAGAUGCUAGAAGGCAGAGAUCAAGGCUAGAAGACUUGUCACACCCACCAACCUUGGCCCUGGGACGAUGACGUCGUUUUAAUGUGGUGAUCGUGAUUGAUCCUGAGAGACGACGAGAGAGAGGAUACUAUUCAUCCGGCGGUUGGUUCAGUUGAGCUGAUCCCGUUGGGCGCUUGGCUAUUAGGAAGGAAAAUGGCGGGUCUGUCACAGACGAAUGCAAUGAGACGGCCUAAAGAAUGACAUUUCGGUGUGGACGUCUGCUUGCAAGGAGCUCAACCUCGUUACAUCACAUUGGAAAGAUAUAUCAUGGCGGUCAUGGCGGCCUGCAAUGCAAACUAGUUUUGGCGUCUCUCCAUAUGCGCAACAUGGCAAGGGGAUGGGCG